rnacentral:rRNA from 1 species
UACGUAGGCAGCGAGCGUUGUUCGGAGUUACUGGGCGUAAAGCGUGCGUAGGCGGUGUCCUAAGUCUGUUGUGAAAUCUCCCGCUUAACCGGGAGGGUGCGCCGGAAACUGGAGUGCUCGAACGUGGGAGAGGAAAGCGGAAUUCCUGGUGUAGCGGUGAAAUGCGUAGAUAUCAGGAGGAACACCUGCGGUGUAGACGCUUUCUGGACCAUUGUUGACGCUGAGACACGAAAGCCAGGGGAGCAAACGGG